GGAUGAACGCUGGCGGCGUGCCUAAUACAUGCAAGUCGAACGCACAGCGAAAGGUGCUUGCACCUUUCAAGUGAGUGGCGAACGGGUGAGUAACACGUGGACAACCUGCCUCAAGGCUGGGGAUAACAUUUGGAAACAGAUGCUAAUACCGAAUGAAACUUAGUGUCGCAUGAUACGAAGUUAAAAGGCGCUUUGGCGUCACCUAGAGAUGGAUCCGCGGUGCAUUAGUUAGUUGGUGGGGUAAAGGCCUACCAAGACAAUGAUGCAUAGCCGAGUUGAGAGACUGAUCGGCCACAUUGGGACUGAGACACGGCCCAAACUCCUACGGGAGGCUGCAGUAGGGAAUCUUCCACAAUGGGCGAAAGCCUGAUGGAGCAACGCCGCGUGUGUGAUGAAGGCUUUCGGGUCGUAAAGCACUGUUGUAUGGGAAGAACAGCUAGAAUAGGGAAUGAUUUUAGUUUGACGGUACCAUACCAGAAAGGGACGGCUAAAUACGUGCCAGCAGCCGCGGUAAUACGUAUGUCCCGAGCGUUAUCCGGAUUUAUUGGGCGUAAAGCGAGCGCAGACGGUUGAUUAAGUCUGAUGUGAAAGCCCGGAGCUCAACUCCGGAAUGGCAUUGGAAACUGGUUAACUUGAGUGCAGUAGAGGUAAGUGGAACUCCAUGUGUAGCGGUGGAAUGCGUAGAUAUAUGGAAGAACACCAGUGGCGAAGGCGGCUUACUGGACUGUAACUGACGUUGAGGCUCGAAAGUGUGGGUAGCAAACAGGAUUAGAUACCCUGGUAGUCCACACCGUAAACGAUGAACACUAGGUGUUAGGAGGUUUCCGCCUCUUAGUGCCGAAGCUAACGCAUUAAGUGUUCCGCCUGGGGAGUACGACCGCAAGGUUGAAACUCAAAGGAAUUGACGGGGACCCGCACAAGCGGUGGAGCAUGUGGUUUAAUUCGAAGCAACGCGAAGAACCUUACCAGGUCUUGACAUCCUUUGAAGCUUUUAGAGAUAGAAGUGUUCUCUUCGGAGACAAAGUGACAGGUGGUGCAUGGUCGUCGUCAGCUCGUGUCGUGAGAUGUUGGGUUAAGUCCCGCAACGAGCGCAACCCUUAUUGUUAGUUGCCAGCAUUCAGAUGGGCACUCUAGCGAGACUGCCGGUGACAAACCGGAGGAAGGCGGGGACGACGUCAGAUCAUCAUGCCCCUUAUGACCUGGGCUACACACGUGCUACAAUGGCGUAUACAACGAGUUGCCAACCCGCGAGGGUGAGCUAAUCUCUUAAAGUACGUCUCAGUUCGGAUUGUAGUCUGCAACUCGACUACAUGAAGUCGGAAUCGCUAGUAAUCGCGGAUCAGCACGCCGCGGUGAAUACGUUCCCGGGUCUUGUACACACCGCCCGUCACACCAUGGGAGUUUGUAAUGCCCAAAGCCGGUGGCCUAACCUUUUAGGAAGGAGCCGUCUAAGGCAGGACAGAUGACUGGGGUGAAGU
rnacentral:rRNA from 1 species